CUUAUUAAUUGAUUAUAUGACUUUGAGUACAUGUAUAAUUUAUUCUACGUGUUUACUGCUGAAUCGAAAAAAAAGAAAGUUAAACGAUAAAAAUUGUGUGAUGAAAUGAAUAGAUGAAACGACAGCCUUACUGGAUAUCCUGAGAGAUAGUGGACAGACCGGAUACAGAGGGAACCCUACUGUGAACGUUGUCUCAUACCGGAUAGGGUAUGGAUACUUGAUAAUUUGGCACUCAUACCGGACGGGUUAUCGGGACGACCCACUUCACCCUCACACCUAACGGGAUAUUGAGGUUUGGUAAAUUGGCACUCAUACCAGACGGAAUAUGGGGACGGUCCGUAAUUGAGAAUGUUAAAUGAAAGGGUUCACGUGUAGCGGAGACAUCACUAUGAACCCCUAU
rnacentral:lncRNA from 1 species